UACGUAGGGUGCGAGCGUUGUCCGGAAUUAUUGGGCGUAAAGAGCUUGUAGGCGGUUUGUCGCGUCUGCUGUGAAAAUCUCAAGGCUCAACCUUGAGCUUGCAGUGGGUACGGGCAGACUAGAGUGUGGUAGGGGAGACUGGAAUUCCUGGUGUAGCGGUGAAAUGCGCAGAUAUCAGGGAGGGAACACCCGAUGGCGAAGGCAGGUCUCUGGGCCAC
rnacentral:rRNA from 1 species